rnacentral:lncRNA from 13 species
GUCUUUGAACCCUUGUGCAGCGUGGGAUGCAGCAUGCACCAGACAUAAGCAUACAGGAUUUCUGGGAGAAGAAACCCAACCUAAUAAAUGAACUACUAUUUCAGAAUGAGUAAUGAGGCAAAAAUUAACCAGAAAACAUACAUACACCCAGCUUAUUUGUGGGGCCUAUCCAGUACAUGGUGAUAGAAGAGAGGAGUGCUAUGUUACUUUGCUCUGUCAUUUAGAACUGCUUCUUUUCAUCCAUGGCUUCUCCAUCUCUACCAAGGGCUUGCCACCUUCUUCGGGCUCCUCUGUUACCAGCUCUGAGAUAAAGGAGAGGGAAAAGUUGCAGAGAAGUGCAAAUUACCAGGCUUAA